rnacentral:rRNA from 1 species
UACGUAGGGUGCGAGCGUUAAUCGGAAUUACUGGGCGUAAAGCGUGCGCAGGCGGUUUUGUAAGCCAGAUGUGAAAUCCCCGGGCUUAACCUGGGAAUGGCAUUUGGGACUGCAAGGCUUGAGUUUGGCAGAGGAGACUGGAAUUCCUGGUGUAGCAGUGAAAUGCGUAGAUAUCAGGAGGAAUACCGAUGGCGAAGGCAGGUCUCUGGGCUAGAACUGACGCUCAUGCACGGAAAGCGUGGGGAGCAAACAGG